GGGUUGUUAGCUCAAUGGUUAGAGCAUCGGCCUUACACGCCGGAGGUUGUAGGUUCGAGUCCUAUACAACCCA
rnacentral:tRNA from 1 species